GAUGAACGCUGGCGGCGUGCCUAAUACAUGCAAGUCGAGCGAACGGACGAGAAGCUUGCUUCUCUGAUGUUAGCGGCGGACGGGUGAGUAACACGUGGAUAACCUACCUAUAAGACUGGGAUAACUUCGGGAAACCGUAGCUAAUACCGGAUAAUAUUUUGAACCGCAUGGUUCAAAAGUGAAAGACGGUCUUUCUGUCACUUAUAGAUGGAUCCGCGCUGCAUUAGCUAGUUGGUAAGGUAACGGCUUACCAAGGCAACGAUGCAUAGCCGACCUGAGAGGGUGAGCGGCCACACUGGAACUGAGACACGGUCCAGACUCCUACGGGAGGCAGCAGUAGGGAAUCUUCCGCAAUGGGCGAAAGCCUGACGGAGCAACGCCGCGUGAGUGAUGAAGGUCUUCGGAUCGUAAAACUCUGUUAUUAGGGAAGAACAUAUGUGUAAGUAACUGUGCACAUCUUGACGGUACCUAAUCAGAAAGCCACGGCUAACUACGUG
rnacentral:rRNA from 1 species